rfam:Salmonella enterica subsp. enterica serovar Newport str. S09097 S_Newport_S09097_mira454_c340, whole genome shotgun sequence.
AAAAAAGAAUUCAGAAUCAGGCCGGGACGCGGACGUCCCGUCAACACGGUCGUACAUCCAGCCGGUUGCCUGAUUCCUUGCAUUGAGUGAUGUACGGAGUUUAAGAGC